AUGCCCCCCCGAACUCUUGACGAGCACAUCCUGAGCAUCGAGGCUCGCCUCUGGUCGGCUCACCGGAUGCUGCGCCGGCUCCAGCGCGUCGGUGCCCAGGUGAUUGCCGCCCUUUGGCCGGAUGUGCAAGCUCCGCGCACCCCCAGCCUAACGGCCAACUGGCUGGAGGUCGCGGCUGGUCGUCUUGAGGCCUGGAAGGGCUCUUCGGCCCGGGCUGGAGCGCGCCGGGCCUUGGAGUUCGUCAAGGCGUGGUACCCGGGGCUAGAUCUAGACAGGUUGGCCACGCUUCGGUCGGAGGCCCAGCCGGAGCUGGCGGCUGCGGAAGACGUCCUCGUCAAACGUGCUGCGGCGAUUGCCGAGUACACCGACACCAGCAUCUUCGUCCCCGAGCGGUCUGAAGACGGCGAGGAGGUACCGCCGGAGUGGUUUGGGAUGAACCCGGACUACGGCGAAGACUCGGCAGAGGUGAUUGACUCCAGCGUCGAGGAGGAGAACGAAGCGGAGGAUGGAGGCGAGGCGGAGGCACCAGAAGACGGAGCAGACGGCUAG
rnacentral:rRNA from 1 species